rnacentral:rRNA from 1 species
AUGGCCUUUUUGGUAUGGGUUAGUUUGGCAAAUUUCUCUAAUCACUCUCGCAUGUUUCGAAGGAUUUCCAACAGAUCAGAACUGCCUGAGAAGAAGCAGCAGAAAAAUAAAAGUGAAGUAUCAUCACCUGGUCGUAAGAGAGCCAUGAAAGAUAAAUUGACAGAACGGACUGACAAGAAGCUUACUCACAGAAUUCGUCAAAAAAGAACAAAAGUUUCAGAAGUCAAAACUUUACUGGAAAAACCUGAUCAUGAGAUAGCACACAUGAAGCUAAGUGUGAUGCAUCUCAGAUUGUUACAAGAGGCCAGAGAGCGUAUUAAGAGUAAAACAAUUCUGUCAGGACCAUCAUCCUCUAAUCAAAGCAACUCCCAGUUUGGAGAUACCAACAGUUUUGAUCCUUUUGAAGAGAACUAUGAAGAGAACUAUGACAAUGACAGAAGAGAGAACCACGUGCUAGAAAAUGCAACCAAACUGAAUUACCAUUCCUACAUGAACAAACAAACACGGGCCAAAUGGUCGAAAUCUGACACUGACUUAUUUUACCAGGGUCUUCAACAAUUUGGUAGUGAUUUUGCAAUGAUACAGCAACUAUUCCCAGAUAAGUCCCGUGAUCAGGUGCGGCAGAAGUUUAAAACUGAGGAGAAAAAACAUCCAAUGCAAGUCCACGAUGCUAUACUUCAUCGCUCAAGAGAUACUUUGUAUUUAAAACAAGUAAUCAAACAGCUCAACAUCGAAGAUCUGCAGAGGGGCAUGAGCAGUACACAUAAACAAGAGGUUGCAUCAAUUGAAGGAGACACUGGAAAUGAGGAUUUCAUCGAGGAGGUAGAGAAUGGUUCAAAUUGGUCAGAUAAAGAGCUGGGCACGCGCCAAUCUGAGGUCAGAGAGGGGGAGCAUGUUUCUGGGAAUGCUGAUGAUGACCUGGAUCUGGAUGUUUUUGAUUGCUCCCAAUUUGGAGGUACCGACACUUUUGAUCCUUUUGGAGAGAACUAUGACAAUGACAGAAUAGAGAACCACGUGCUAGAAAACGCAACCAAACUGAAUUACUAUUCCUACAUGAACAAACAAACACGGGCCAAAUGGUCGAAAUCUGACACUGACUUGUUUUACCAGGGUCUUCAACAAUUUGGUAGCAAUUUUGCAAUGAUACAGCAACUAUUCCCUGAUAAGUCCCGUGAUCAGGUGCGGCAAAAGUUUAAAACUGAGGAGAAAAAACAUCCAAUGCAAGUCCACGAUGCUAUACUUCAUCGCUCAAGAGAUACUUUGUAUUUGAAACAAGUAAUCAAACAGCUCAACAUCGAAGAUCUGCAGAGGGGCAUGAACAGUGCACAGAAACAAGAGGUUGGAUCAAUUGAAGGAGACACUGGAAAUGAGGAUUUCAUCGAGGAGGAAGAGAAUGGUUCAAAUUGGUCAGAUAAAGAGCUGGGCACACGCCAAUCUGAGGCUAGAGAAGGGGAGCAUGUUUCUGGGAAUGCUGAUGAUGACCUGGAUCUGGAUGUUUUUGACUGGUACUAG